ACGUUAGCGGCGGACGGGUGAGUAACACGUGGGUAACCUACCUAUAAGACUGGGAUAACUUCGGGAAACCGGAGCUAAUACCGGAUAAUAUUCGAACCGCAUGGUUCGAUAGUGAAAGAUGGUUUUGCUAUCACUUAUAGAUGGACCCGCGCCGUAUUAGCUAGUUGGUAAGGUAACGGCUUACCAAGGCGACGAUACGUAGCCGACCUGAGAGGGUGAUCGGCCACACUGGAACUGAGACACGGUCCAGACUCCUACGGGAGGCAGCAGCU
rnacentral:rRNA from 1 species